rnacentral:lncRNA from 10 species
CGAGCCUUCUAGCUUCUACCAUCACAGCUCUCCUUGGUCUUCUCAUUGAGUCAUAUCUGCUACUUUAAUGCAGCCCCACCCCCCCUUUUUUAUUAUCAAGCAUCUGUGGUCAUGCAGCUACACUCAUAGAACUCCAGAAUCACAUAUCUUGUCUGCCUCACACCCCCAUUCUAUGCCAUGGAAUGUGGACAGGAGAAACAACAAAAGGAAAGAAGUUCUCAAGGACAGCAUCAAGACGUGUGGAAAUAGGCAUGUUUUACAACCCCAAAUGUGGCCUGCCUUGCUGAAUAUUCCAUGUGAGCCUGAGAAGAAGGUGCGGUCAGCUGUUGGUGGAUAAAGUAGACUACAAAUAUCCGUUAUAUCCAGUUGAUUGAUGAUUGUGUUAUGUUCAACUACGUCCUAACUGAUCUUCUGCCUUCUGGAUCUGUUCAUUUCUGACAGAGGAGUGUUGAAUUCUUCAACUAUAAUAUUGGAUUCAUCUAUUUCUCCUUGCAGUUCUGUCAAUUUUUGCCUCACCUAUUUUUAUGCCCUGUUGUUAGACAUAUACACAUUAAAGAUUGUUAUGUCCUCUUGGAGAAUGAAUCGUUUAUCACAAUGUAAUAAUGUUUUUAAAAUUUCCAUUUUAGAUUCAGGGGUACAUGUGCAGGUUUGUAAUACAGGUAAAUUUUGUGCCACAGAGAUUUGGUGUACAGAUUUUCUGUCACCUAGACAAUAUGCAUAGUACCCAACUGGUAGUUUUUUGAUCCUCUCCCUCCUUCCGUGCUCCACACUCAAGUAAGCCCUGGUGUUUCUUGUUUCCUUCUUUGUGUCCAUGUGUCCUCAAUGUGUAGCUCCCACUUACAAAGGACAGAAUGUGAUACUUGGUUUUCUGUUCCUGUGUUAGUUGGCUAAGUCCACCAGCUCCAUUCAUGUUGCUGCAAAGAACAUGACUUUGUUCUUUUUUUAUGGCGGCAUAGCAUUACAUGGUGUAUAUGUACUGCAUUUUCCUUAUCCAGUCUACCAUGGGCAUUUAAGUUGAUUUCAUUUCUUUGUUGUGAAUAGUGCUGCAAUGAACAUAUGAUAUGCCUGUAUGUGUCUUUAUAGCAGAAUGAUUUAUAUUGCAUUUGGGUAUAUAACUAAUAAUGCGAUUGCCGGGUUGAAUGGUAAUUCUGUUUUCAGUUAUUUGAGAAAUCACCACACAGCUUUCAACAAUGACUAAACUAAUUUACGUUUCUACCAGCAGUGUAUAAGUGCUCCCUUUUCUAUGCUUGCUAGCAUCUGUUGUUUUUUUUGAAUUUUUAAUAAUAACCAUUUUAACUGGUGUAAGAUGGCAUCUUAAUGUGGUUUUGAUUUGCAUUUCUCUAAUGAUUAGUGAUGUUGAGCAUUUUUUUCAUAUGCUUCUUGGCCACAUGUAUGUCUUCUUUUGGAAAGUAUCUGUUCAUGUCCUUUGCUCACUUUUUAAUAGAGUUGUUUUUUGCUUGUCAAUUUGUUCAAGUUCCUUAUAGAAUCUGGACAUUAGACCUUUGUCAGAUGCAUAGUUUUCAAAUAUUUUCUCCCAUUCUGUAGGUUGUCUAUUUACUCUGUUUGGUAGUUUCUUUUGCUGUGCCGAAGAUUUUUAGUUUAAUUAGGUUACAUUUAGUCAAGUUUUGUUUGUGUUGCAAUUGGUUUUGGUAUCUUUGUCAAGAAGUCUUUGCCAGAGACUAUGUUCAAAAUAGUAUUUUCUACAUUAUCUUCCAGGGUUUUUAUAGUUUUAGGUUUUAUAUUGAAUUCUUUAGUACAUGUUGAAUUGAUUUUUGUAUAUGGUGUAAGGAAGGGGUCCAGUUUCAGUCUUCUGUAUAUGGCUAGCCAGUUAUCUCAGCACCACUUAUUGAAUAGAAAGUCUUUUCCCCAUUGCUUGUUUUUGUCAUCUUUGUGAAAGAUUAAAUUAUUGUAAAUGUGUGACAUUAUUUCUGGGCUCUCUAUUCGAUUAUAGCUCUAUAUGUCUAUUUUUGUAAGUUUUCUUGCUUUGAAGUUUGCUCUACCUGAAUUAAUAUAGCUACACCCACUUUCUUUUGAUAAGUGUUAGUAUGAUAUAUCUUUCUCUAUCUAUUUACUUUUAGUCUAUAUGUAUCUUUUCCAUUAAAGUGAG